CUGGCGGUGUGCCUCAUACAUGCAAGUCGAACGAUAAGGUUCCUUCGGGAAUACAUAAGUGGCGGACGGGUGAGUACAACAUAGAAAUCUGCCUUAAGCUGGGGGACAACAGAGGGAAACUCCUGCUAAUACCCCAUAUGAGCUUAGUUGAAAUACUAAUCUUGAAAGCUCCGGCGGCUUAAGAUGAGCCUGUGCCUGAUUAGCUAGUUGGUGGUGGUAAAUGGACUACCAAGGCGACGAUCAGUAGCUGGUUUGAGAGGAUGAUCAGCCACAAUGGGACUGAGACACGGCCCAUACUCCUACGGGAGGCAGCAGUAGGGAAUUUUGCGCAAUGGGGGGAAAAACCCCCUGACGCAGCAACACCGCGUGAAUGUUAAGCCCUUCGGGGUGUAAAGUUCUGUCAGUAGGGAAGAACAAAUGACUGUACCUACAAAGGAAGCACCGGCUAACUCCGUGCCAGCCGCGGC
rnacentral:rRNA from 1 species